GACGAACGCUGGCGGCGUGCUUAACACAUGCAAGUCGAACGGUGAAGGGACCAGCUUGCUGGUUCUGGAUGAGUGGCGAACGGGUGAGUAACACGUGAGUAACCUGCCCCCUUCUUCUGGAUAACCGCAUGAAAGUGUGGCUAAUACGGGAUAUUCUGGGUCUGUCGCAUGGCGGGCCCGGGAAAGAUAUUGCUUCGGUGGGGUAUGGGCUCGCGGCCUAUCAGCUUGUUGGUGGGGUGAUGGCCUACCAAGGCGGUGACGGGUAGCCGGCCUGAGAGGGUGGACGGUCACACUGGGACUGAGACACGGCCCAGACUCCUACGGGAGGCAGCAGUGGGGAAUAUUGCACAAUGGGCGCAAGCCUGAUGCAGCGACGCCGCGUGAGGGAUGGAGGCCUUCGGGUUGUAAACCUCUUUCGCCAGUGAAGCAGGCCUGCUCCUUGUGGGUGGGUUGACGGUAGCUGGAUAAGAAGCGCCGGCUAACUACGUG
rnacentral:rRNA from 1 species